UAACGGGUGGCCUAGUGGCUAACGCUCCCGUUUUUGAAGCGACUAUCCCGGGUUCGAACCCCAGUUAGGUAA